UCUGCUAACCUCCCCUGGUGAUGAGCAAUCUGCAGCCUUCCUGAGUACGGACUUGAAGACGGCCACACUGCCAUCCGCUCCCAGCUCGCUGUGAAGAAGGAUGCCACAAAACAAAACCACAAAAGACUCCUGGCCACCUUCUCACCUGAAGAGAGGCUACACAAGGGUGUGUGUAUCACCACAGGAUUGAAGGAGGUUGACUUCGAGAAAGUGAGACUGGACAAAGUCCUCUGGAGCGACGUGAAUACAGCGACAUCCUUUCGAUGGGACUUCAGGCACUUGAAGCAGCUUCCUGGAAUGGUUGCAAAGAAACCGUCCACGUGUUCGCUUCCUGCUUAACGUCGAUAGUGACAAACAACGUGGUUGUCAAUCUCCUAAAGCCUCGAGGACAAUACUGGAAACAAGCACCUCCUUACUGGCCACCUGAUUCAGAGUGUUGGACCUAUUAGAGAGAGCCUUGUAAUAGGUGCUAUAUUCCAUUUCAGGUGGAGGAAUAUUGGGGAUCCUUUCCAUCUCAGCUGUAUUACACCUGGCACCAAGUGAAUGACCCAAAUCUGGAAGUCAGACCCCGAUUCUAAUCUACAGGUGGUGACACUAAUAUUUCCUCAGUGGUCACUAUACACGGUAACUCGCAGGUCGGACUGGAUUUUGAGAAAGAAGGAAGAUGCAUCCAUGCAUCCCUGCAUUGUGCUUUUUAAUUGUUCAGUUGAACGAUGAUAUCCAACCAAUUCAGUCGCUUUUAAAGGGCCAACGUGGUGCUUCAACCAGAGGCCAGAUCACAGUUAUGCACACUCACAACUAUCUACACGCACGAUGUGUCAUUUUAUUUCAUUUUGAUCUGUUUCCUGUGGUUGGAAUGAUACUCUUUAUUAUAGAAUGCGUUUUUUUGGUUUUAUUUCAUGUCUCUGUAUCGAGAUAAUUAACCUGCACUGGAAUAAAUGUAAUGUGUGAG
ensembl:lncRNA